AGGUGAAGCUAUCAUGAAAAUCAAGAAAUCUUAUGGGAUCAAGAAGCACUGGCAAGGAGAUCCUUGUUAUCCGCAGCGUUACACAUGGCAGGGUAUUAACUGCAGUCUUGGAGGUUCUGGUCAAUUCAAAAUCACAUCCUUGAACUUAUCCUCCACUGGAUUAACUGGCAAAAUAGUGAUCGACUUGAAAUCACUGGAAUAUUUGGAUUUGUCAAAUAACAGAUUAAAUGGGGAAGUACCUGAUUUCUUACCUAAC